UGAGUACUCCCUCCUUCUUAAAUCUUUUGUCUUAGCAUUGUUCAAAAACGGAUGUAUCAAACUAUUAAAAUAUGAAUACAUUCAUAUUUAAAUAAAUCUAAGACAAGAAUUUUGGAACGGAGGAAGUAAUAU
rnacentral:pre_miRNA from 1 species